GGAGGAUCACUAUCGUAGGGCUUCGGCCCUGUCGAGAUAGAACCCUUGCCUUUUUGAGUACCUUUCGUUUCCUCGGCAGGCUCGCCUGCCAAUGGGGACCACAAAAACACUUUGCAGUACCUGUAACAGUCUGAACAAACAAAACAAAAAUUAAAACUUUCAACAACGGAUCUCUUGGUUCUGGCAUCGAUGAAGAACGCAGCGAAAUGCGAUAAGUAGUGUGAAUUGCAGAAUUCAGUGAAUCAUCGAAUCUUUGAACGCACAUUGCGCCCUUUGGUAUUCCUUAGGGCAUGCCUGUUCGAGCGUCAUUUAAACCUUCAAGCUAAGCUUGGUGUUGGGUGACUGUCCGCUUCACUGCGGACUCGCCUCAAAAUUAUUGGCGGCCGGUACAUUGGCUUCGAGCGCAGCAGAAACGCGAACUCGGGCCCGUCGUAUUGGCUCCCAGAAGCUAUCUUCACAAUUUUGACCUCGGAUCAGGUAGGGAUACCCGCUGAACUUAAGCAUAUCAAUAAGCGGAGGA
rnacentral:rRNA from 1 species